ACUCCUGCGGGAGGCAGCAGUGGGGAAUUUUGGACAAUGGGCGAAAGCCUGAUCCAGCAAUGCCGCGUGUGUGAAGAAGGCCUUCGGGUUGUAAAGCACUUUUGUCCGGAAAGAAAUCCUUGGCUCUAAUACAGUCGGGGGAUGACGGUACCGGAAGAAUAAGCACCGGCUAACUACGUGCCAGCAGCCGCGGUAAUACGUAGGGUGCGAGCGUUAAUCGGAAUUACUGGGCGUAAAGCGUGCGCAGGCGGUUUGCUAAGACCGAUGUGAAAUCCCCGGGCUCAACCUGGGAACUGCAUUGGUGACUGGCAGGCUAGAGUAUGGCAGAGGGGGGUAGAAUUCCACGUGUAGCAGUGAAAUGCGUAGAGAUGUGGAGGAAUACCGAUGGCGAAGGCAGCCCCCUGGGCCAAUACUGACGCUCAUGCACGAAAGCGUGGGGAGCAAACAGGAUUAGAAACCCCUGUAGUCCCAUGAU
rnacentral:rRNA from 1 species